GGUCAAGUACUAGGCCGAGGCAGACGCGGUGUCGCCGGCGGUUGCCGCCGACCGCGGCGACGAAGCUGCAGGCUGAACAACGACAACGGACUCCUCUGAACAGAAGGUAAUAUGGCUGUAAAAUCCCUGUUUGAUGUGGAAAGCAUAUCAUUGGACAAUGUUGUGGUAUUUCACCUUUCUGAUAGGUCCAUCCACAAACUAGCAGAGUUUUCAGGCAGCGACAAUUAACACCCCGGAGCAUUGG